rnacentral:rRNA from 1 species
CAGUAGCGGGAAUACGAAGGGUGCAAGCGUUAAUCGGAAUUACUGGGCGUAAAGCGUGCGUAGGCGGUGAGUUAAGUCUGCUGUGAAAUCCCCGGGCUCAACCUGGGAAUGGCAGUGGAUACUGGCAAGCUAGAGUGUGUCAGAGGAUGGUGGAAUUCCCGGUGUAGCGGUGAAAUGCGUAGAGAUCGGGAGGAACAUCAGUGGCGAAGGCGGCCAUCUGGGACAACACUGACGCUGAGGCACGAAAGCGUGGGGAGCAAACAGGAUUAGAUUACCCCCGUAGUCCCUGUCUCUUAUACAC